CUGCAGCUCAAGUGGUGAUCAUUAUUAUUGGGCCUAAAACGUCCGUAGCCGGUUUAGUAAAUGCCUGGGUAAAUCGUGUAGCUUAACUAUACGACUUCCGGGUAGACUGCUAAACUUGAGACCGGGAGAGGCUAGAGGCACUCCUGGGGUAGAGGUGAAACUCUGUAAUCCUAGGGGGACCACCAGUGGCGAAGGCGUCUAGCUAGAACGGGUCUGACGGUGAGGGACGAAGCCCUGGGGCGCAAACCGGAUUAGAUACCCGAGUAGUCC
rnacentral:rRNA from 1 species